UCCACAGAGCAAGGGGGCCCCCAUCCCAGGGAAGGUGCUGAUCCCAGAAAAGCGCUGAUCUUCAGAUUUCGCAGCACAGUCAGGCCGGCGCCCAGCUGCGAGGGCCCGCCCCCGCAGAGGGACAGGCUGCUGGUGUCUGCUUCUGUCCUUGUCCGUCUCCCCUGGCAACCUGAUGGAGGCAGCGGGGGGCGGGCCAGCUGGGAAUGGCGAGGCGGGCUGGGGAUCCUCUGCAGCGUCACAGCUCAUAAUCCCGGAUGGGAGCCGGGCCGGCUGGAAAAGCAGGCUGUGAGCGCCGCUGCCGAUGAGCCAGCUGUAGGCUGCAGGGCAGAGGGGCUGGUUUAUGAGUUCCAGCGCGGGGGAGCUGGCCGCUGUCGUGGAACCGACUGCAUCCCUUGUCGGCGGCAGAGGCAGCUCCGCCCUCACCUGCGGUGCAGGGAGGAGGAAACCCAGCGGCGGGGCCGAGGAGCUCCCGGCUCCCGCCACUUCAUCCGCCCGCGCCCGAAGUGGGGCCGAUCCACACGCCGCACGGGGAGGGGGUGGGGGGAGAGGAGGAGGCGAUUGUCCCGUUUGCGCUGGUGAAGGUGAAGGGGCAGGAGCGACCACGGCUCUGGUCGGAGUAAUUGCUGACCGUGGAAGCGGAGCUGCUGAAUGCGUCGGUCUUUCCUGCGCAUGCGCCGACCUACUCGAACCUGCUUCAGAUUGGGACCUGGGAAAAACCGAGAGUUUGCACCUUGUGGCCUGCAGCAGCUAGCCCAGAGCCGGAGGGACUGAUAACAGAGCGACCACCCCCAAGAGAGACUUUCUGAAUUUGUCAUGUUUUUCAGAGCAGUGAAAGAGUGGUGGCAUCUGACCUACUCGAACCUGCUUCAGAUUGGGACCUGGGAAACACCGAGAGUUUGCACCCUGUAGCCUGCAGCAGCUACCCCAGCACUGGAGGGACUGAUAACAAAGCAACCACCCCCAAGAAAUACUUUCUGAAUUUGUCAUCUUUUUCAGAGCGGUGAAAGAGUGGUGUCAUCCGGUAUUGUUCAUUUUGUGUGCUGGGGGGUGCUGUGCCUGUUAAAUAAACAGGUUCUUUCCACUUUUCUCGGAAGAAUCCUUCCCGAACCAGUUGGGGGGAGGGGCUGUGUGAGUUUCCUUUCUGGAGGGACCCCCUUUUAGUGGUUUUCUCCCAAAUUUGCCCUUAACCAAGACACUGCCCUUUGCAAAAUGUAGGUGGACAUUUGGGGAAAGGUGCCAACGGAGACAGAGGUUCCGUUUUCUUCUUCAGAGGAGAGAGUUAUUACCCUCUGGAUGUUGUGGGGUUGUGAAGACAGAGUUCAUAUGGUGACGAGACAUUUUUAUGAGUUUUUCAGAUGGACAAAAUUCCAUGGAUUUUUCAUGGAUUUGAUAUAUUCUCUCAAUUUAAAUGUAUGGGAAUGCAUGGAACCCAUUUCUGAGGAGACAUUUGACCGGGGUCUUGGACUUCCCCGAAUUUAUCCGGCAUUCACAACU